rnacentral:snoRNA from 1 species
ACCCUCCAGAAUCCUUACCCACCAGACCUCAACGCUGGUCAGGGUGGCUGAAGAGGAAGGGCAGUAAAAGUGAAGCUGUCUGGGGUUCUUUUUUGGUAACAUACAAGUUAGAGUUUUAGAAAGCA